GGCUUGUUGGCUCAGUUGGUAGAGCACUGCACUGUUACUGCAGAGGUCAUGGGUUCAACUCCUGUACAGGCAU